AGCGAACGCUGGCGGCAGGCUUAACACAUGCAAGUCGAGCGGGCCCUUCGGGGUCAGCGGCAGACGGUUGAGUAACACGUGGGAACGUACCCUUUGGUUCGGAAUAACGCUGGGAAACUAGCGCUAAUACCGGAUACGCCCUUUUGGGGAAAGGCUUGCUGCCGAAGGAUCGGCCCGCGUCUGAUUAGCUAGUUGGUGGGGUAAUGGCCUACCAAGGCGACGAUCAGUAGCUGGUCUGAGAGGAUGAUCAGCCACACUGGGACUGAGACACGGCCCAGACUCCUACGGGAGGCAGCAGUGGGGAAUAUUGGACAAUGGGCGCAAGCCUGAUCCAGCCAUGCCGCGUGAGUGAUGAAGGCCUUAGGGUUGUAAAGCUCUUUUGUCCGGGACGAUAAUGACGGUACCGGAAGAAUAAGCCCCGGCUAACUUCGUG
rnacentral:rRNA from 1 species